rnacentral:rRNA from 1 species
UACGAAGGGGGCUAGCGUUGCUCGGAAUCACUGGGCGUAAAGCGCACGUAGGCGGAUUGUUAAGUCAGGGGUGAAAUCCUGGAGCUCAACUCCAGAACUGCCUUUGAUACUGGCGAUCUCGAGUCCGGGAGAGGUGAGUGGAACUGCGAGUGUAGAGGUGAAAUUCGUAGAUAUUCGCAAGAACACCAGUGGCGAAGGCGGCUCACUGGCCCGGUACUGACGCUGAGGUGCGAAAGCGUGGGGAGCAAAAGGG